GAAGUUUCGCUUAAUGAAGUGUUUUUAGGAACGUAACCCCUUCGUUAAACGGGGGUUGCCUGUAUUUAUUAACUUUGAAUUACUCCUUGAGAUUAGUAUUUUCUGAAAUCAGACUGCUGUUUCAGAUUGGAAAUGAAUGACAAGAGAUAUAGACACCAUCAAGUAAGAAAGGAAAUGAUUCUUGGAUUCUUAUAGGCAUUAAUGUACAUUCCUAUCUGUGGGAGUUGUACUCUUGGGAUGAUUAGAAAUGAGUGGCAAGAGAAAUAGGCACCGUUGAGGAAGAAAGGAUUCUCAUGUAUAUUUCUAUCCUGUUGGGAUUUGCACCCAUGAGUAGAUUGGAAAUGAGUGACAAGAGAUAUAGGCAUCUUCCAAGAAAAAAAGAAAACCUUAAAAGAUUUUUGGAUUCUCAUGAGUGUUGAUGCACAUUUCUAUCCUGUUGGGAGUUGUAUCCAUGUGAUGACUGGAAAUGAAUGACAAGAGAAAUAGGCACCCUCAAAGAAAGGAAAAGCUUCCUGGAUUCUCAUGGCUGUUGAUGUAUAUUUCUAUCUUGUUGGGAUGGAAUGAUUAGAAAUGAGUGGCAAGAGAAAUAGGCACCGUUGAGGAAGAAAGGAUUCUCAUGUAUAUUUCUAUCCUGUUGGGAUUUGCACCCAUGAGUAGAUUGGAAAUGAGUGACAAGAGAUAUAGGCAUCUUCCAAGAAAAAAAGAAAACCUUAAAAGAUUUUUGGAUUCUCAUGAGUGUUGAUGCACAUUUCUAUCCUGUUGGGAGUUGUAUCCAUGUGAUGACUGGAAAUGAAUGACAAGAGAAAUAGGCACCAUCAAAGAAAGGAAAAGCUUCCUGGAUUCUCAUGGCUGUUGAUAUUAGAAAUGAGUGGCAAGAGAAAUAGGCACCAUUGAGGAAGAAAGGAUUCUCAUGUAUAUUUCUAUCCUGUUGGGAUUUGCACCCAUGAGUAGAUUGGAAAUGAGUGACAAGAGAUAUAGGCAUCUUCCAAGAAAAAAAGAAAACCUUAAAAGAUUUUUGGAUUCUCAUGAGUGUUGAUGCACAUUUCUAUCCUGUUGGGAGUUGUAUCCAUGUGAUGACUGGAAAUGAAUGACAAGAGAAAUAGGCACCAUCAAAGAAAGGAAAAGCUUCCUGGAUUCUCAUGGCUGUUGAUGUAUAUUAUUCUAAAUGAUCUCCACCAUUCUGUUUUACAUAAAGAGGAUCCUAGUCAGUUGGCAAUAAGCUUCAUCAUGACGAACAACAACAGAGCCAAUCCAUUGAAAAAUCAUGAAAUAAUUGGUUUAUAAUCUGAAUAUUUUCUAACACUGAAUUGUCACUUAAAAUUAGUAUAUUCUGAAAUAAGACUGCUGUUUCAGAUUAGAAAUGAGUGGCAAGAGAAAUAGGCACCGUUGAGGAAGAAAGGAUUCUCAUGUAUAUUUCUAUCCUGUUGGGAUUUGCACCCAUGAGUAGAUUGGAAAUGAGUGACAAGAGAUAUAGGCAUCUUCCAAGAAAAAAAGAAAACCUUAAAAGAUUUUUGGAUUCUCAUGAGUGUUGAUGCACAUUUCUAUCCUGUUGGGAGUUGUAUCCAUGUGAUGACUGGAAAUGAAUGACAAGAGAAAUAGGCACCAUCAAAGAAAGGAAAAGCUUCCUGGAUUCUCAUGGCUGUUGAUGUAUAUUAUUCUAAAUGAUCUCCACCAUUCUGUUUUACAUAAAGAGGAUCCUAGUCAGUUGGCAAUAAGCUUCAUCAUGAUGAACAACAACAGAGCCAAUCCAUUGAAAAAUCAUGAAAUAAUUGGUUUAUAAUCUGAAUAUUUUCUAACACUGAAUUGUCACUUAAAAUUAGUAUAUUGUGAAAUAAGACUGCUGUUUCAGAUUAGAAAUGAGUGGCAAGAGAAAUAGGCACCGUUGAGGAAGAAAGGAUUCUCAUGUAUAUUUCUAUCCUGUUGGGAUUUGCACCCAUGAGUAGAUUGGAAAUGAGUGACAAGAGAUAUAGGCAUCUUCCAAGAAGAAAAGAAAACCUUAAAAGAUUUUUGGAUUCUCAUGAGUGUUGAUGCACAUUUCACUGCUUGAAAUUAACAUUUUCUGAGAUGAGACUGCUGUUUUAGAUUGGAAAUGAAUGGCACCUUCUAAGAAAAAGAAAAGCUUGGAUUCUUGAAGGGUGUUGAUGUACAUUUCAAUCCUGUUGGAAGUUGCACCCAUAUGAUGUACGGUAACUGUAUCUUCGAUUCAUGGUGGCAACCCACAUCACAUUGCGAUCUGUGGCAGCGGCUGUUGGCCUCAUCCCUCAUGAAAGACUUUACUGUUGAACCUCAAUAACUCAGCUUAAAAAAGAAUGAGGCCGCCGUGGUCUGCAGUGUGGGGCGGUCGUGGUAAACAUGGGGCCGUCACGGGGGCAGGCCGUCGUGAUCAGGGGCCGUCUUGACCAUGACCCUUCAAAGUCUAGUGGUGGUGGUGGUGAUGGUAGUGGUAGUGGUGCGAGGAUUCCCCUGAGCCUUGCCUUAGAGGGCGAGGCUGUUCAACCAAAGGACGAAGUGGAUGUGCUGGGAGUCAUGCUCAUGAGGAUCGUGUGGCUGCUUGAUGGAAAGGGGCUGGAGGUACUGUACAAAGCUCAGGUCCACUUUUUUAUACUAAAAAAAAAAAAAAAAAAGUCUAGGGAGUUGGGUAUUCAUUCCUUACUUUGUACAAUUUUUACUAUAUACGGUCCCUUCUGGAACGCAUCUACCAUAUAAAUCGAGGACUACCUGUAUAGAGAGAUGGUUUAGAAGUGUGGCUGUAAGGAUGGAGGUGAGGGGAGGGUCUUGGAGGGGGAAAUAAAAUGCAUAAAGGGAGGGGAGAGGGGAGGGGAGUAUUCAAGGUCAGCUGUCUCCCAAUGCUACAUUUGUUUGUUUCUUUUGUCUUCUUUUCUUGAAGUUUCUGAUUCUAAUCCUUGUCAAUUUAUGCCUGUAAGGACAUAUUUCUGACUCCUGGCCAUGUACUGUGUAGGGCAUGAGUCAGGCUAUGACUCAACCUGGUGGGACUUUAGGUUAGGUGCCUUAGAUUUCAACGUACCAAGAUCGCCUA